AAGCUUUCGCGGUAUGGGAUGGGGUCGCGUCCUAUCAGCUUGACGGCGGGGUAACGGCCCACCGUGGCUUCGACGGGUAGCCGGCCUGAGAGGGCGACCGGCCACAUUGGGACUGAGAUACGGCCCAGACUCCUACGGGAGGCAGCAGUGGGGAAUAUUGCACAGUGGGCGCAAGCCUGAUGCAGCGACGCCGCGUGAGGGAUGGAGGCCUUCGGGUUGUAAACCUCUUUUAUCGGGGAGCAAGCGAGAGUGAGUUUACCCGUUGAAUAAGCACCGGCUAACUACGUGCCAGCAGCCGCGGUAAUACGUAGGGUGCAAGCGUUAUCCGGAAUUAUUGGGCGUAAAGGGCUCGUAGGCGGUUCGUCGCGUCCGGUGUGAAAGUCCAUCGCUUAACGGUGGAUCUGCGCCGGGUACGGGCGGGCUUGAGUGCGGUAGGGGAGACUGGAAUUCCCGGUGUAACGGUGG
rnacentral:rRNA from 1 species